CCCAAAACCACGGAGGUCCCUUUUCCUUCGCAGCACUAAUUGAGAACAUGUAGUCAGAUUGCCUCUGGGAGUGCUCACUCGUGCUGACAGCCAGCACAACAUUAUGCAAGACAUGGAAAAGAGGAAAAGAGAGCAGGAAAAAACUCAGAGGAAACAUAACAGUACCCACCAAGAGUCCAACUGCAAAGUUCCUGCUUGCCAUCAGGUUCAGCAUCUUGGAUUUGUACAUGUGGCAUCCCCUGGAACAAGAGAGCCUCAGACCCCCCCAUCCACGGAAGGCGUAAGCAAAG